rnacentral:rRNA from 1 species
UGGCUCAGAACGAACGCUGGCGGCGUGCCUAACACAUGCAAGUCGCGCGAGAAAGUGGAGCAAUCCAUGAGUAAAGCGGCGCACGGGUGAGUAACACGUGACUAACCUACCCUCGAGUGGGGAAUAACUUCGGGAAACCGAGGCUAAUACCGCAUAAUACCCACGGGUCAAAGGAGCAAUCCGCUUGAGGAGGGGGUCGCGGCCGAUUAGUUAGUUGGCAGGGUAAUGGCCUACCGAGAAGAUGAUCGGUAUCCGGCCUGAGAGGGCGCACGGACACACUGGAACUGAAACACGGGCAGGACUCCUACG